GACGAACGCUGGCGGCGUGCCUAAUACAUGCAAGUCGAACGCAGUGGGGACGGGUGAGUAACACGUGGGUAACCUCCCAUCAGAUGGGAUAACACUUGGAAACAGGUGCUAAACCGAUACGGAUUGAUGGACCCGCGGUGCAUUAGCUAGUUGGUGAGGUAACGGCUCAGCAAGGCCACGAUGCAGAGCCGACCGGGGAGGGUGGUCGGACACACUGGGACUGAGACACGGCCCAGACCCCUACGGGAGGCGGCAGUAGGGAGUGUUCGGCAAUGGACGAAAGUCUGACCGAGAAAAGCCGCGUGAGUGAAGAAGGUUUUGGGAUCGUAGAACUCUGUUGUUAGAGAAGCGGUAUCUAACCAGAAAGCCACGGCUAACUACGUGCCAGCAGCCGCGGUAAUUC
rnacentral:rRNA from 1 species